GACGAACGCUGGCGGCGCGCCUAACACAUGCAAGUCGAACGAGAAGAGAUUGAGUUUACUUGAGCUCUUCUAGUGGCGGACGGGUGAGUAACACGUGAAGAACCUGCCUUACAGAGGGGGACAACAGCUGGAAACGGCUGCUAAUACCGCAUAACACCGAUUGAGGGCAUCCUUAGUCGGUCAAAGGAGCAAUCCGCUGUAAGAUGGCUUCGCGUCCGAUUAGACAGUUGGCGGGGUAACAGCCCACCAAAUCUACGAUCGGUAGCCGGACUGAGAGGUUGAACGGCCACAUUGGGACUGAGACACGGCCCAGACUCCUACGGGAGGCAGCAGUGGGGGAUAUUGCACAAUGGAGGAAACUCUGAUGCAGCGACGCCGCGUGAGGGAAGAAGGUUUUCGGAUUGUAAACCUCUGUCUUCGGUGACGAGAAUGACGGUAGCCGAGGAGGAAGCC
rnacentral:rRNA from 1 species